GUGCCAGCCGCCGCGGUAAUACAGAGGUCCCGAGCGUUGUUCGGAUUCACUGGGCGUAAAGGGUGCGUAGGUGGUGAGGUAAGUCGGAUGUGAAAUCUCCAAGCUCAACUUGGAAAUGGCAUUGGAAACUACCUUGCUCGAGGGUUUGAGGGGGGACUGGAAUACUUGGUGUAGCAGUGAAAUGCGUAGAUAUCAAGUGGAACACCAGUGGCGAAGGCGAGUCCCUGGAAAACUCCUGACACUGAGGCACGAAAGCUAGGGGAGCAAACAGGAUUAGAAACCCUGGUAGUCC
rnacentral:rRNA from 1 species